rnacentral:misc_RNA from 1 species
UACGGAGGGUGCGAGCGUUAAUCGGAAUUACUGGGCGUAAAGGGCACGCAGGUGGCCUAGACAGUCGGAUGUGAAAGCCCCGGGCUCAACCUGGGAACUGCAUUCGAUACUGCUCGGCUAGAGUAUGGGAGAGGGAAGUGGAAUUCCCGGUGUAGCGGUGAAGUGCGUAGAUAUCGGGAGGAACACCAGUGGCGAAGGCGGCUUCCUGGCCCAAUACUGACACUCAUGUGCGAAAGCGUGGGGAGCAAAUAGG